AGAGUUUGAUCAUGGCUCAGGAUAAACGCUGGCGGCGUGCCUUAUGCAUGCAAGUCGAACGGGUCACUUCGGUGAUUAGUGGCAAACGGGUGAGUAACGCGUAAGCAACCUGCCCUUAAGUAGGGGAUAACUCUGAGAAAUUAGAGCUAAUACCGUAUGUGGUGAUGGAGGUAAGGCUUCAUUACUAAAGCCUUAGGGCGCUUAAGGAGGGGCUUGCGUCCGAUUAGCUAGUUGGUAGGGUAAUGGCUUACCAAGGCGACGAUCGGUAGCUGGUUUGAGAGGAUGUCCAGCCACACUGGGAUUGAGAUACGGCCCAGACUCCUACGGGAGGCAGC
rnacentral:rRNA from 1 species